rnacentral:sRNA from 1 species
AUGGACGCGUCGUUUCGUUGUUCUUUCCGCGAAAAUUCCCUUAAAUUGGCUUAAAAAGUGAAGUGGAGUGAGUUUAAACCGAUUCGCGUGCUGGGUGAUAAGGAUUGGCCAUCCAUCCUUAUCAUUUCCUUGAGUUAUGACACAAUCCGCGCGCAAAAAACUACAAUUUCGCUUGACGCAGCACGCGCACCUGGCAAACCUUCGUUUCGUGUGUUAACUUUGGCUUUUUCCGGCGUUUCGCGUUGCGUGUUUUUUGGCCAGGACAUUGGGAAAAACUCGGGACAGCCACUCGGAGGAGCAGUCAACAAAUCCCAAUCCCGGCGACACGGAAUUUAUGUUUGUUUGAGCACAUUUCGCCGUCAAGUCAUUCGUCAGGGUUGUCACAUAAUUUGCGGGGCGGGGGUGUUGCCGGGAAGAAGCAGAAAAUGAUGGAAAAAUGCGGCAAAGCAAAUGCAAAGCAAAAUGUGACAGGAACGCAACUGAGUCCUUUUAGCGAUCCUUUCGGACAGGAGCUGCUCCCAUUGACGCUGAUUAAUGCGGCAUUGGUCUUAUUUCGCAGCGGUUCGGGAGAAAUACAAACUUGCAAGUACAUACAUACCUACAAAGUCCUGUUGCUAUUGCAAGUUUGGGAAGAAGAAGAAAAACCGGACAAAACUGGAAUGAAGCCAGUCUGGAGUAGUCUUUAGUGUAUAAAUCAUAUCAAUCGAAUGCUUCCUCCGCUCGGAAUUCAACACGACCGGGACGGCAAUCCUCAGUUUGUGAUACGAACGGGGCAAAGAAGAAGCUGAGGACGGCGGAGAUCAUUACAUUGACAUAUUCAUGCGGAAUCGGAAUCAGAAUCGGGGAAUUCCAGGGAAUGCAAUGAACGAACAAUGGAGCACGCGACCAUGUGGAGUGUAGCCAUGAGGAGCGCGUCCCACGCGACUGCCGGGAAUCAACCUGCAACCUGCAACUGGCAACCUGCAAUAUGCCUUUCGUCUGGCGAAGAAACCUCACACAUCUCGCAUCUCACAUCGUCCAGUUGUCGUCGCUUUAUCCGCAACAUGGACAUGGGGACCGGGAUCGUCGGAAUGCUUAUCAAGGGGCGCACUUGUAGCUGUCAUAAGGCCAACUGAAAUAUUGGCAGCCCAAACAGAGACCGAAACGGCGGCACCAGAGGAGCAACCUCUUGCCAGUCCCCCUCUGAACUCCUUUCAAUAAACUGAAUGCACUGGACAAAAAGUCCACUUGAGUAGUAAAGAAAAGGAAAGAGGCACCUGAACUGCCCCAGGACUUGUCCUCCAUCCAUUUAUCUCACUCGACGCCGGCGACGGCAACUGCAACGGGCAAAUAUGGAAAUUUGUUGGCCUGGUCGCCUUUUUUUUGUGAGACGCCGCCGCCGACUGUCCCCCACAAACCCGCCACUUAAACCGCUUCAUUAAACACUCCAUGAACUCCCUAUCCAGGGCCAAGUGUCCUUAUGUCCUGGCGGUGUAAUUAAUUUCUGCCACAGUUGGGUAUUUGAAAAAGCUUAGAAAUGCGGCCGAAUGGAGUGGGAGGCAGCGUUUUCCGUGCCACAGGAGCAAUUAUAAAACGGAGUCGAGUGGCGGGAGCCUUAACACAAGGAGCCAGAGAAAACGAACUGAAGCUCUUUUAAAGGGUUGCGGCUAUGAAUUCAAAGAAAGAAACUCCAUAAAUAGCUAUGAUAAUGCAAGAAUAUCAUGAAAGGAGUUGCUGUAAAGAUAAGCCUUACGAGUGCAUAUAAAUUCUCAACCCGAUUCUGCUGUACUAUUGUUAAUUACUUAGAAAAUAUGUGUGCUAAACUCUAGUGAAUGUGGCAUAAACAAGUGUUAAUCAAAGUUAUCUUGAUCAAUAAGUUCGUGACGCAGAGCCAAUAUUAAUUAAUCUAACGACUGAAGGAUUUACCAAGGCUCUCUUGGACACCUUGCAAACAACGAAAAACCGGACACAAAUCAAACAAUACUGGCCUGAAAUCAAAAU